CGGGCGGCGGGCGCUGAGGGAGGCGCGCGCGGGGCGAGGCGCGCGCGGAGCUCCGGCCAUGCCGCCGCCCCCUCGGGGCGCGCAUUGAGCGCGGCGCCGCCGCCAGGCCGGGAGGCGGGGCCGCGGGAGCGGUGGCACCGGGCAGCGCCGGGGGCAGAGCCGGAGCCGUGAGCGGCGGGUGGCGGCGGUGCGGGACUGCGGCGGCGGUGGCCGCAGGAGGAGGAGGAGCGGGAGCAAGAGCCAGGAGGAGGAGCAGCAGCAGAGCGGCGGGGGCUCCGCCUGCAGCCCGGCCGGGUUCCUGUUCUACACCCACCCUGAUGGUAUCAGAAUGUCUUCUGGACUUGGUGAUAAAAAACAUUAGAAAACAAGACUAGCAUCUGUCAAAUGGGGUUCUCUCUCCAUUUCUCUCUACACACCUUUCCUUUCAGGGGAGAAGAAGCAAAGAAUAGUAUGAAAAGUGCAAAAUGUUUCAAAUUCCUGUUCAAAACCUUGAUAAUAUAAGGAAGGCUCGAAAAAAGGUGAAGGACAUUCUUGUGGAUCUUGGGCUUGACAGCUGCAGGGAGUUGUUGAAGAAUCUUAAAAGUGUUGAUGCAGGUGAAAACUACUUUUGUAAUACUUCAUGGAGUGAUGUCUCUCCUUGGGACCCUGUGGGCAAAAGGAAGGUGGUUGUGAGGACUUCAGUUACCAUUUUCAGUCUUUAAGGAUACAACCCUGAACAUCAGUGUUUAAGAUGUCACACUAAUAUUUUGCCUUUUUAGCCUAACCUAAUAUGUAGUCUUCACAUGGUCUUCUGUACAACGUGACUCCUGUUUCAUUGGAAGGGUGAAAAUGUGAUUGCGUAGAUGCAAGUGGAUUAAGAUGAAAUUAUUAUUAGUAGCUUGGUAUGGGGUGGCAGUGAAAAACUUUCCAGUUAUAUUUGUGUACGUGAAACAGCUUUUAGUUCUGCGUAGCUAGAUUCCACAAGAAAGGCAGGAUUGACGUGAACAAUUCAUAAUUGUAUAUAGUAACAAGUUGCUAAGAUGCUGUGUCUAGAGCAAUGGAGUAUGUCCAGAAAAAAAUGUAGACUUGUCAGUCUUGCUGAAGAGUCUUGAGGCCCCUCAUGGCCUUCUUGUGGAAGACCUGUCAAUGAAAUUCAGUGUGGAAUUGAUAACAUGUUGCUGUGGAACAGGUUGUGUUCCAAACUUUGUCUUUUGGAUACUAACCUUGUUUGUAUCCAUUUUCUUUAAACAAUUUUGGUUUAUUAAUGUGUAUCAUUUACAUCCUGACUAGAUUUGGGAGAAAAGAAGCUGGUCCUUCAGGAUGUUCUAUUCCAAAGUUGUUGCCAUAAGGGGAAAAUAAAUUGUUUCCUCCUGUAAACUCAGUAGGCUGGAGAAGAUGUCUGUGUAGGUGAAGUUGGUGGUUUCCACCAUUUGUAUUAUUUUUAGGGAGACAUUAACAGUUCUGGUAGACCUUGGUUUUUUGGAGGAUGUUCUGUCUUUCUGCAUGAUUCUAGGUUGUGGGGAAUGUGAGACUACACAACAAAAAGUACUACUAUAUUCUCGGAUAGGCUCUUUGAAGGAGGGUUAAUUGAGUUUACUGCAAUGUCUCUAAUAAGCCUUCUUUUGGAUUCCAUUUAUACAGUUGAAGGUUGGUCAAUCUCUAAGAUGCUUUGUUUUUCUUAAGUGGCUUGUAAUUUUUGUCAAACUUUCUAUAAAAUUGGCAUGCCAUUGGUAGGUUUUGGUGAACCUGGAAAAGCAGGUGAGUGAACAGAAAAAGCAGAUGAGUACACAAGGAGAACAUGCUGGCAGAAUGGUUUGUAAAGGGUUUGUGUGGAAGAGCUCUGUUUCAUACAAAGAAUAUCAAAGCAGCGUAUUUCCACCUGCUUCUGUUCAGCUGAAAGAGAAUUGUUUGGAGUUUUUCCUUUGUCAAUUUACUCCUUCAGAAGUAGCGAGGCGUAUCUUCUGGUAAUGUUCUGUGUGCUUCAUUAGUUCAUUAGGGUCAGUGGCCUUUCUCUAGGCAGGGUACUUCAAGAUUCAUGCAUCUGCUAAUUUGCUUUGUUGCUGUUUACUAGCAGCUAAGAUUAGACACCUAAAGAGUAUAAAUAGAGGAUAAUUCAGUGAUAGCUUAGCAGCAUGCUUCUUCAGCAGCCUUAGCCAGCCAGUGGCAUUGUCUGGCCCAGUCUUUUGAAUUGGGAGAUUAGAUUCUGGUUAUCAUCAGGAGACCUCCUAGUGCAGUAUUCACAUUCUCUGAACAGAGAGACAUAAUUCUCUCUCCCAGGAUUUUUCUUGGGAAAGGCAGUGAGAAAGCUCAGAGAAGGGAAUGAAAACAAUUCUUAUCUCUAUUUGCUGCUCCUGUUGUUGGGUACAUGUGUAGUGUGUUAUGGAGAUUGUUUACCGAAAGGGAUUUGUUAAUUGGAUUCUGCUGAUGGUUGUUUGGACUGAUUGACCAGUUGGGUCAAAGCUGUGUUGUGACUGUCUGGAAAAGGUCACAGGUUUUUCUUUAGUAUAGUACAGUUUAGUAUAGUAUUAGUGUAAUAUAAUACAGCUUAAUAAAGCACUUGUUCAGUCCUCUGAAUCAUGGAGUCUGAGCACAUUAUUCCCUGGCUGGAGGACGCCCAGCCUCGAUACUCCUAGUACUGCUAGGAGAUGGCUGGCUGUUGCCUGUAGAUGGCUGACUGUAACCUGCAUGGUUAUAUGACAUGGCAAAAAAACCCCACCUGCAGGUGUUGUGUUGCUGUUCUUCAUGGUAUGUCAGUGAGAUGUAUGUGGGUGAUCUAACUGGGCUGGAUGCUAUAGUGGCAGAACAGCUUGUUCCCUUUGGGUUCUGUUUCAUGAGAGCAGAAAUCAGUGAGGUGAAAAACAUGUCUGAGGGAACAGACAGAUUCCACUAGAUUUUUGAGUGUGCAGAUUUGUCACGUGGAUGUGGCUAUGACUGAUUCUGUAGUUUUUGGCAGUAGCCAGGGUUAACUUCCUAGGAAGUUGAUCAGAAAAAAUGGUUGAUGGGGCUAUCAGUUUUUCAGAAAGAACAAAUGAUGUUCAUAUGGAUAUGAAAAGCAGUGCUGUCAUGUGACAUAUUACUGAGGGAGCAAGUCACUGGUUAGUGCAAGAUAGAUAUGUUUUUAAGCUGUUAAAAUACUUUUCUGAGAGGAAUGUGUAUGCUCUAUACUGAGCAUUUUUGAGGAAAUUGCACAAAAAAUUACUAUGAUGGGAUGUCCAGUAUGUGUGAGUUAAUAUAAAUUGUAUGUAUGAGUUAAUACAUCGCUGCUUUAUCAUAACAGGGGGUUUUACUACUUUCUAUUAUUAUUUUGUCUCCAAAAGAAUGUUCUUUAAAAAAUUGUUGUUUAUGGCUUUGUUGGGAAGGUCUGGAGAGUGUUCAGUGAAGAAUAGGGUGUUGCAAUACAGAAAAAGAAAUCCUUGCCUGUAGAAGCUGAAGGGGGUCAGGACGGUCGGGACAAACACAGAUGAGAGAUUGCUGAAGCUAGGUCUUGGGAUUUGCGGUUUAUUGCAGAGGGCGUGAGUGCAGGGGCCCUGCUUGGAGCUGCCAGCCGCAGCUCGGAGCAGGCCCCAAAGAGAGAGGUAAAGAGAGCGGUAGAGAGAGAGAAUGAAUGCAAGAGCGUGGUAAAGAAAGGUUAGAGAGAAUGAAGAGAGAAUGUAUGAAUGGUUCCUGUUACAAUACAAUAAAUCUUCUUCUGUGUUGAAUAUUCUAAUUCUUACUAACCAGUCUAAUACAAGAUACAAAUCCUAUAGCAUUUACAUACAGCCUAUAAGAAUCAUUACAUUACCAUACUGUGUUACAUUUUAAACCCUAAAAACUACUCUUUGGACCCCUUCUGCUAAGCUAGUAGGGUCUGCUCUGACCCUUGGACCUGUCUGCAAGCAGAGGGUAUUGUUUCAUCAAAUAGGGAUUACCUUCAGCCGGCCAUACUAUUGUUUUCCAGUUGUUCAGUAACUAAGGUAUCUCAAAGCUUGCUUUAAUUUCAAUCUGGCUUAUAGUUUCCAUA